UAGAAGAUGACUGUUACAGAUUGAUUGGGUAUCCGGAAGAUUUUCAGUUCACAAAAGGUUUUCAAGCACCUAUAAAGGGGAAUGCAACUAUCACAUAUGUAGAUUAUGACCAUUUGAACAUUGGGACGGAUGAAACUGAUGAUGAUCUUCUUUCUCAACUGAGUAGGCAUCAAAUCUCCCAGAUCAAACACAUUUUCAAUCAAGG
rnacentral:lncRNA from 1 species